rnacentral:lncRNA from 1 species
GCCGUACCGCAGACGAGCCCGCGCCCGCGCCGCUCAGGUGUUAAAACUACAUCUACAACAACUGCAACAACUAUAUCAGAACCACUCACUUUACUAUUUUGUUUAACCAGUAUUCUAUGAGGAGUUGACAGUUACCUGGACAACUAAAUGCCUGAUUUCCUUCUGUUGUCUCCCUCUCUCAGUUGACUACUGCUGAAGAGUUCUUGCUGAAGUACAUACCAGACCAUUUACUCCCCUUUCCCAAAGUCUCACAGUUAAUGACUUUGAAUCUGACUGGAUCUCCUAAUAACACGUUUGUUGUUCUUUCCAUUGCUCUACUGUGUAGCUAUUUCACUUCUAUUAGUCAAGAAACUCAUUGAAGCCUGGAAAUGUGAUUAAAUACAAACAACAAAUAAGGACUGUAGAAAUUCAAAGAAAGAGAUAUCAGUAUGUCUGAUAGCAGUUUUAAAUGCCUUCAUGUGGAGUUAAUUGAACAGUUUAAAAAUUUAAGUAACAUGAAAUAAAUGAGAAUACCAAUGAAUGCUGGCUGUGUGAUACCUUUUAAUAUCAUAUGAGAAAGCAUGUAUAAGAGCAAAUUGAUUAUCUGUUUGACUAACUUUUUCAGAGGUCAGUUUUAGAACUACGUUUACCUUAUGCUUCCCAUUAACAAAAGAAGAAUGAUUCUUGAAGUAACUGUUAAAAUUUUUAAACAGUGUUUUAAUAGACUGAGGCCAACAUUAUUUUCUGGAAAAAGUGAUCUCUCCAAUUAGAAUGUAAUUAAUAAAAAACUAUGAUUUGCAAAUCAUUAAUUUUGUACAUUAGCAUUCAUUCAAUGAGCACUUAUUGAACAUAUCUGCAGAGGAUAUAAACUGGCAGGUCAAAUCUUAGCUGCAGAUUUGUCCUGUUUGACC